UUAGAGCCCGGAGGUUACUAUGAGACAGGGCUGACCUUCUGAUUGGAGUUUACAUCAUAGGUAGAGCCCUUUAGAGCCCGGAGGUUACUAUGAGACAGGGCUGACCUUCUGAUUGGAGUUUACAUCAUAGGUAGAGCCCUUUAGAGCCCGGAGGUUACUAUGAGACAGGGCUGACCUUCUGAUUGGAGUUUACAUCAUAGGUAGAGCCCUUUAGAGCCCGGAGGUUACUAUGAGACAGGGCUGACCUUCUGAUUGGAGUUUACAUCAUAGGUAGAGCCCUUUAGAGCCCGGAGGUUACUAUGAGACAGGGCUGACCUUCUGAUUGGAGUUUACAUCAUAGGUAGAGCCCUUUAGAGCACGGAGGUUACUAUGAGACAGGGCUGAACUUCUGAUUGGAGUUUACAUCAUAGGUAGAGCCCUUUAGAGCCCGGAGGUUACUAUGAGACAGGGCUGACCUUCUGAUUGGAGUUUACAUCAUAGGUUCAGCCCUUUAGAGCCCGGAGGUUACUAUGAGACAGGGUUGACCUUCUGAUUGGAGUUUACAUCAUAGGUAGAGCUCGGAGGUUACUAUGAGACAGGGUUGACCUUCUGAUUGGAGUUUACAUCAUAGGUAGAGCCCGGAGGUUACUAUGAGACGGGGCUGACCUUCUGAUUGGAGUUUACAUCAUAGGUAGAGCCCUUUAGAGCCCGGAGGUUACUAUGAGACAGGGUUGACCUUCUGAUUGGAGUUUACAUCAUAGGUAGAGCCCGGAGGUUACUAUGAGACAGGGCUGACCUUCUGAUUGGAGUUUACAUCAUAGGUAGAGCCCGGAGGUUACUAUGAGACAGGGCUGACCUUCUGAUUGGAGUUUACAUCAUAGGUAGAGCCCUUUAGAGCCCGGAGGUUACUAUGAGACAGGGCUGACCUUCUGAUUGGAGUUUACAUCAUAGGUAGAGCCCGGAGGUUACUAUGAGACAGGGUUGACCUUCUGAUUGGAGUUUACAUCAUAGGUAGAGCCCGGAGGUUACUAUGAGACAGGGCUGACCUUCUGAUUGGAGUUUACAUCAUAGGUAGAGCCCGGAGGUUACUAUGAGACAGGGCUGACCUUCUGAUUGGAGUUUACAUCAUAGGUAGAGCCCGGAGGUUACUAUGAGACAGGGCUGACCUUCUGAUUGGAGUUUACAUCAUAGGUAGAGCCCAGAGGUUACUAUGAGACAGGGUUGACCUUCUGAUUGGAGUUUACAUCAUAGGUAGAGCCCGGAGGUUACUAUGAGACAGGGCUGACCUUCUGAUUGGAGUUUACAUCAUAGGUAGAGCCCUUUAGAGCCCGGAGGUUACUAUGAGACAGGGUUGACCUUCUGAUUGGAGUUUACAUCAUAGGUAGAGCCCGGAGGUUACUAUGAGACAGGGUUGACCUUCUGAUUGGAGUUUACAUCAUAGGUAGAGCCCAGAGGUUACUAUGAGACAGGGCUGACCUUCUGAUUGGAGUUUACAUCAUAGGUUCAGCCCUUUAGAGCCCGGAGGUUACUAUGAGACAGGGUUGACCUUCUGAUUGGAGUUUACAUCAUAGGUAGAACCCAGAGGUUACUAUGAGACAGGGUUGACCUUCUGAUUGGAGUUUACAUCAUAGGUAGAGCCCGGAGGUUACUAUGAGACAGGGCUGACCUUCUGAUUGGAGUUUACAUCAUAGGUAGAGCCCGGAGGUUACUAUGAGACAGGGCUGACCUUCUGAUUGGAGUUUACAUCAUAGGUAGAGCCCGGAGGUUACUAUGAGACAGGGUUGACAUUCUGAUUGGAGUUUACAUCAUAGGUUCAGCCCUUUAGAGCCCGGAGGUUACUAUGAGACAGGGUUGACCUUCUGAUUGGAGUUUACAUCAUAGGUAGAGCCCGGAGGUUACUAUGAGACAGGGCUGACCUUCUGAUUGGAGUUUACAUCAUAGGUAGAGCCCGGAGGUUACUAUGAGACAGGGCUGACCUUCUGAUUGGAGUUAUCAUGAGUGGUGGAGGAGGAAUCAUUAUAUUGACGUUGGUCUUCUAUCUGGUGAGUCGAUAUGUUGAUGGGAAGUAGAAUAACAUCAUCUGCUGACUAACUGUGUGAGAGAGUUUAUACAGCCGCCCUCUCUCUCUCCCACACCCUCCCGCCCUCUCUCACACGCUCCCCCACCCCUCUUUCC